rnacentral:rRNA from 1 species
UACGGAGGGUGCGAGCGUUGUUCGGAAUCACUGGGCGUAAAGCGCGUGUAGGCGGCUUCUUAAGUCUGGUGUGAAAUCCCGGGGCUCACCCCUGGAAGUGCACUGGAUACUGGGAAGCUUGAGUACCGGAGAGGAGGGUGGAAUUCCUGGUGUAGCGGUGAAAUGCGUAGAUAUCAGGAGGAACACCUGUGGCGAAGGCGGCCCUCUGGACGGAUACUGACGCUGAGACGCGAAAGCGUGGGGAGCAAACAGG